rnacentral:rRNA from 1 species
AUUGAACGCUGGCGGCAUGCCUUACACAUGCAAGUCGAACGGCAGCACGGGUGCUUGCCCCUGGUGGCGAGUGGCGAACGGGUGAGUAAUACAUCGGAACAUGUCCUGUAGUGGGGGAUAGCCCGGCGAAAGCCGGAUUAAUACCGCAUACGAUCUACGGAUGAAAGCGGGGGACCUUCGGGCCUCGCGCUAUAGGGUUGGCCGAUGGCUGAUUAGCUAGUUGGUGGGGUAAAGGCCUACCAAGGCGACGAUCAGUAGCUGGUCUGAGAGGACGACCAGCCACACUGGGACUGAGACACGGCCCAGACUCCUACGGGAGGCAGCAGUGGGGAAUGUUGGACAAUGGGCGAAAGCCUGAUCCAGCAAUGCCGCGUGUGUGAAGAAGGCCUUCGGGUUGUAAAGCACUUUUGUCCGGAAAGAAAUCCUUGGCUCUAAUACAGUCGGGGGAUGACGGUACCGGAAGAAUAAGCACCGGCUAACUACGUG